rnacentral:piRNA from 1 species
UGAUUCUUGGUGAGAAGCAGGGA